UACGUAGGGGGCUAGCGUUGUCCGGAUUUAUUGGGCGUAAAGAGCGUGUAGGCGGCCAUGUAGGUCCGGUGUGAAAACUCGAGGCUUAACCUCGAGAUGUCAUCGGAAACCAUUUGGCUAGAGUCCGGAAGAGGAGAGUGGAAUUCCUGGUGUAGCGGUGAAAUGCGCAGAUAUCGGGAAGAACACCCGUGGCGAAGGCGGUUCUCUGGGACGGUACUGACGCUGAGACGCGAAAGCGUGGGGAGCGAACAGG
rnacentral:rRNA from 1 species